rnacentral:rRNA from 1 species
GUAGGGGGCAAGCGUUGUCCGGAUUUAUUGGGCGUAAAGCGCUCGCAGGUGGUCCGAUGCGUCGUGCGUGAAAGACCCUGGCUCAACUGGGGGGUGUCGUGCGAUACGGUCGGACUGGAGGCCAGUAGGGGGAUGCGGAAUUCCGGGUGUAGUGGUGGAAUGCGUAGAGAUCCGGAGGAACACCAGCGGCGAAGGCGGCAUCCUGGACUGGUCCUGACACUCAUGAGCGAAAGCGUGGGGAGCGAUCCGGAUUAGAUACCCGGGUAGUCCACGCUGUAAACGAUGCGCACUAGGUGUCGGGGGUAUCGACCCCCUCGGUGCCGCAGCUAACGCGAUAAGUGCGCCGCCUGGGGACUACGGCCGCAAGGCUAAA